GAUGAACGCUAGCGGCAGGCCUAAUACAUGCAAGUCGAACGAUACCAGAGAGCUUGCUUUCUGGGAAAGUGGCGCACGGGUGCGUAACGCGUAUGCAACCUACCUUAAUCAGGGGGAUAGCCUCUCGAAAGAGAGAUUAACACCGCAUAACAUCAUUUUACGGCAUCGUAUAAUGAUCAAAUAUUUAUAGGAUUAAGAUGGGCAUGCGUGACAUUAGUUUGUUGGUGAGGUAACGGCUUACCAAGGCUACGAUGUCUAGGGGAUCUGAGAGGAUGACCCCCCANACUGGUACUGAGACACGGACCAGACUCCUACGGGAGGCAGCAGUAAGGAAUAUUGGUCAAUGGGGGCAACCUGAACCAGCCAUGCCGCGUGCAGGAAGACGGCCCUACGGGUUGUAAACUGCUUUUAUACGGGAAUAAAUCUCGCUACGUGUAGUGAGUUGAAUGUACUGUAAGAAUAAGGAUCGGCUAACUCCGUGCCAGCAG
rnacentral:rRNA from 1 species